CCAAUAGCGUAUAUUAAAGUUGUUGCAGUUAAAAAGCUCGUAGUUGAAUUUCGGGAUUGACACAUCGGUCGUGCCCUAAGGGGUAUGAACUGGUGUAGUCAAUUUCUCACCUUCUGGAGAACCGCGCUGUCCUUAAUUGGGUGAUGCGGGGAACCAGGACCUUUACUUUGAAAAAAUUAGAGUGUUUAAAGCAGGCAUUU
rnacentral:rRNA from 1 species